rnacentral:rRNA from 1 species
UACGGGGGGGGCAAGCGUUGUUCGGAAUUACUGGGCGUAAAGGGCUCGUAGGCGGCCAACUAAGUCAGACGUGAAAUCCCUCGGCUUAACCGGGGAACUGCCUCUGAUACUGGAUGGCUUGAGUUCGGGAGAGGGAUGCGGAAUUCCAGGUGUAGCGGUGAAAUGCGUAGAUAUCAGGAGGAACACCUGCGGUGUAGACGGCUUACUGGACCAUCACUGACGCUGAGGCACGAAAGCGUGGGUAGCAAACAGG